rnacentral:lncRNA from 1 species
AUGCCGAGGCACCCUGACAGGUCACAGGUACGCGGGAGCGGAAGCUGCAGCCCAGAAACCGGAGGGUGCCAGUCGCACCCAUCCUUCAGGCCUCCUUCCCUCCCGGCCCCAGGAGCGCAGGCUCGGAGCUCGGCUCCCGCCCGCCGCUCGCCUUUGUCGCCGGCUCGGUGCGCGGCCGCGGGCUCCCGCGGCGGGCUUUGUUCGGGAGGAGCAGGCCAGGACCCCUCGCGCCGCCGCGUCCCCGCCCUCCCCGCGCCGAGGACGGUGGGGGUGGGGACUGCGCGACCGGGACCUGGACCCAAGGAGCGUCCGAGCGCGCCUCGGAGCCGGGAACUCGCUCCUUCGCCCCUUUUCGUAAUUGAGCUGUUGUCCGCUCGGCUAGGGGGCCGGGCUGAGCAGAAGGAGGGCGAGGGGGGUGCGCGUCCUCAGCCUGCAGCCCCGGCUGGGCGCGGCUCCCCGGGCGCCCGUGGACUCGUGCUGCCGCGUGCGCGCGUGCCAGGCUGGAUGGACGCACGCGCGCAUGGACGAGGCGGGCCGUCGGACUGGGUCCCAGGUCCUAGGCUGCUCUGGCCGAGGUUUUCGCAGCUGCAGUGUCUUUCAAAUCUUAAUCAGAGAACUUCAUUGUGAUCACAUUAUUCAGCACUUGAUGGAUGAAGGUGAAGACUCAGAGAAGAAUCCCGCCAUUCAAGGACAGACGCCGCUUGUCCUCUCUGCCAGGGACGGCAGUGGAGAACGAAAUGCCUGGAUAUGUGCGCUCACCGAGUGUGCUGAAAAUGUAGCUUCGGACCAGAAGAGCCAAAGAGACGAGACUUUUCACUAAGUGAUACUUUUGAUGCAAUCGAAGGAUUGGCAAACUGACUUGUUGCCCAUUUUUACAAAUAAAGUUUUAUUGGCACAGAGUCAUGCCCACCUUUAGUGUAUUGUCUCUGCUUGGUUAUCACAGCAAGUGCCAAGAUAGGGACCACAUGGUCUGCCAAGCUUAGAAC